rnacentral:tRNA from 1 species
GCCCCUGUAGUUCAACGGAUAGAACGCUAGCCUUCUAAGCUGGACAUGGAAGUUCGACUCUUCCCAGGGGCA